rnacentral:tRNA from 1 species
GUAGGUGUGGCUCAGUUGGUUAGAGCGUUGGUCUCAUAUCGUUCGAUCGUUUUCGACAAAGUAUGACUUGGUUAGAAAUCAGGGUAAUCCAAAGGUCGAGAGUUCGAGCCUCUCCACCGACA